AGCCUAAGGAGCUGGCUCCGAGCCCAAGGAGCUGGCUCCGAGCCUAAAGAGCUGGCUCCGAGCCUAAGGAGUCAGCUCCUUAGGCUCGGAGCCAGCUCCUUAGGCUCGGAGUCAGCUCCUUAGGCU